rnacentral:lncRNA from 1 species
AGUGCUCCUGCUGACCUUCCCUGUCUGCAGCCCAGCUUUGGACUGUGGAGAUGCCCUCAGCCUCUACUCAGUGGCUCCAGCCUCAUAUUUGCGUGCUAUACCUUUAACCUCAAGUUCUCUUGCUGCUAACUUAAGCUGUGACUGUCCAGGACCUGCACACACACAUACAUGCACGCAUGCACACACACACACACACACACAGAAGGUGAACACACAGGAUGAGGCCCUGAAAACUCAUUUCACCCGUGUACCUCACCCAAAAAUUCCCCUUUGUACUCCUAUCUUUAUCUCUAACUGACAGCAUGAAGGUAGCCCGAAGUCCCCUCACCCUGUCUGUCCUCCUGAUUCUCUAGCCCAGUUCCCUCUAGCUCCAGCACAGACUCUUAUCUCCAGCCCUGACUGCUGAAACCCUCCAGCCCCAGCUCCAGCCCCUCAGGAGGGGACUGCGUGGGAGGAAUGACUCCAGCAAGCCGGCAGCUGACCCGUCUCUGGCCUGCAUGCCUCCCCCUGUGGUCCACUGCCGGUGGUCUUCAGCUCUCUCCUCGUCCCACCCCCAUGGUCUGCUGACAGCCCAGCCCAGUGCAUCCCUGCCAUCUCUGCUCUACCGCUGGUCCUCCCAACAACCAACUUACAGCUUCCAAUUGUGGACAAGAUAAGGACCAUUGCCCAGGCUGUCUAUGGAGCCAAAGAUAUCGAACUCUGUCCUGAGGCACAAGUCAAAAUAGAUCGUUACACUCAGCAGGGUUUUGGAAAUUUGCCCAUCUGCAUGGCAAAGACCGAUCUUUCUCUGUCUCACCAACCUGACAAAAAAGGUGUGCCAAGGGACUUCAUCUUACCUAUCAGUGAUGUCCGGGCCAGCAUAGGUGCUGGGUUCAUUUACCCUUUGGUCGGAACGGGAAGCAGAGAAUCUCCCCUCUGGCUCUAGUUGGAGAAUCCCAACCCAAGCAAGUCCAUCUUUGAACAAUAAACAUCUCCAGUACUGCUGGCUUUGGAAGACCCCAUGGUGAGAUGCUGGAGCUUUUUUCCGCUCCUGAUUUCACUUUCUAAAUAUUUACUUUUACUUUCCAUGUUCACUUGUAGGCCAGAUUUUUUUUUCCUACCAUUGAAUUAUUUCAUCAUGUUCUAUUUAAUUACUGUCUUAAUUGGCAUUGGUGACCACAAAUAAUAAUAAAUACUAUU